rnacentral:rRNA from 1 species
GUAGGUGGCAAGCGUUGUCCGGAAUUAUUGGGCGUAAAGCGCGCGCAGGCGGUUCUUUAAGUCUGAUGUGAAAGCCCACGGCUCAACCGUGGAGGGUCAUUGGAAACUGGAGGACUUGAGUACAGAAGAGGAAAGCGGAAUUCCACGUGUAGCGGUGAAAUGCGUAGAGAUGUGGAGGAACACCGGUGGCGAAGGCGGCUUUCUGGUCUGUAACUGACGCUGAGGCGCGAAAGCGUGGGGAGCAAACAGGAUUAGAUACCCUGGUAGUCCACGCCGUAAACGAUGAGUGCUAAGUGUUAGGGGGUUUCCCGCCCCCUUAGUGCUGCAGCUAACGCAUUAAGCACUCCGCCUGGGGGAGUACGGCCGCAAGGCUG